UUCGAUCUCUCUGUACUCAUCUUUCAAUAUCUUUGACCAGUCCGGUAUGUUCACCGGGAGUGAAGAUGCCGUUCCACGGCGGCGGAGGCUCUACUCGAUGUUGUGGUUGAUUUCUUUGAAAUUCGUGAACUCGGUUUGCGAAACUCGGGUGAGUUAGAACGAGUUGUAACUGAGUUACCGUAUAUGUCUGACUCGUCGAGUUCGAAUGUCGCGUCGUGCGCGAGUGGCCCGUGAUGAUCGCUUGAUAAAAAAUCGAUAGUUUUGUCGCGCAAAGUAGCUCUUACUUGUUGCCAUUGAAUUUUUCUUAAAAGAAUCUUUUUAGUUUCUGUGUUUUUUCUUUCUCUUGUUUAUGUAUGAAUGAGUUUUGAAGAAGAAGAAGAAGGAGAAGGGUGUGUUUGGGGAUUUGGGUUUCAUUCAAAAUGAGGGAACUGAUCUGCUUUUAUAAAGGUUUUUGGGUAUAUAAUAUGGAUAAGGCUGGCUAUUUAGUUCUAAUUAGUUUUAGAAUUAUUUCUCUGUAACUUCUUAUGCAAUUACCAAACACACCUUUAUAAGUUUUGUCGAAUUGCCACGUCGGAAAUUACUUAUUUCCAUAAAGAAAUUGAGAUAAAUGAAGAUGCACAAGUCUUAUCCAGUGUUUUUGUUUGUUUUUAGUUGGUUGCACAUCAUUGAUUUUUUUUUAGUUGACAAACGACAUACCAUUUUUUUACGAAACCGAGAAAGAAAUUUUCCCUCGUUAAUUUGUUCUUUUCUGCUUAUAGAAAAUUAUUUAAUAU
rnacentral:lncRNA from 1 species